rnacentral:rRNA from 1 species
ACAGGGAUUGCCCUAGUAACGGCGAGUGAAGCGGCAACAGCUCAAAUUUGAAAUCUGGCUCUUUUAGAGUCCGAGUUGUAAUUUGCAGAGGGCGCUUUGGCUUUGGCAGCGGUCCAAGUUCCUUGGAACAGGACGUCACAGAGGGUGAGAAUCCCGUACGUGGUCGCUAGCUAUUGCCGUGUAAAGCCCCUUCGACGAGUCGAGUUGUUUGGGAAUGCAGCUCUAAAUGGGAGGUAAAUUUCUUCUAAAGCUAAAUAUUGGCCAGAGACCGAUAGCGCACAAGUAGAGUGAUCGAAAGAUGAAAAGCACUUUGGAAAGAGAGUCAAACAGCACGUGAAAUUGUUGAAAGGGAAGCGCUUGCAGCCAGACUUGCUUGCAGUUGCUCAUCCGGGCUUUUGCCCGGUGCACUCUUCUGCAGGCAGGCCAGCAUCAGUUUGGGCGGUGGGAUAAAGGUCUCUGACACGUUCCUUCCUUCGGGUUGGCCAUAUAGGGGAGACGUCAUACCACCAGCCUGGACUGAGGUCCGCGCAUCUGCUAGGAUGCUGGCGUAAUGGCUGUAAGCGGCCCGUCUUGAAACACGGACCAAGGAGUCUAACAUCUAUGCGAGUGUUUGGGUGUCAAGCCCGAGCGCGUAAUGAAAGUGAACGGAGGUGGGAACCCGCAAGGGUGCACCAUCGACCGAUCCUGAAGUUUACGGAAGGAUUUGAGUAAGAGCAUGGCUGUUGGGACCCGAAAGAUGGUGAACUAUGCUUGAAUAGGGUGAAGCCAGAGGAAACUCUGGUGGAGGCUCGCAGCGGUUCUGACGUGCAAAUCGAUCGUCAAAUUUGGGCAUAGGGGCGAAAGACUAAUCGA